CAGGAAUCAAUGCUGGUGUUGUCUCCAGAAAAAUUGCUGUACUGAUUGUCAUGAAGUAUAUUGAUGUCACUGUCACUAUGACAACAUUGUGACAAGAACUAGACACUCUAGGCUACCUUGUAAAAGGGAUCUGUCAUCUAUAUUUUUUUUUGUAUAAAAAGUAAUAGAAAUGAGAACCUCUCCCCCAGCACAGGGUUUCAUUUAAGGUUAGAUGAAUUGUUACAGGCAUCGGAUCAAGGUAUUCCUGAACAAGUGACAAGCUAGCUUUUCAAGACAGUCUGGAUCUCAAGAAAAGAGCAGAAAAAAACCUGUUUCUUCCCCACGAGCAGAGCCAGAAAAGGUGACCUUUCUGUCAUUCUUAGAAUAUAUAACAUUAAUUUUAACAUCACCAUGCCUCAUCCUGACAACAAGUUUAGAAGAUUAAAGAAGUACUUCACAGAAUGUAUCACUAAUUUUCUUUUUUUCAUUAAAUAAGCAUGAAUAAUAGAAUUUGC
rnacentral:lncRNA from 1 species